CCUACGGGGGGCAGCAGUGGGGAAUAUUGCACAAUGGGCGCAAGCCUGAUGCAGCCAUGCCGCGUGUGUGAAGAAGGCCUUCGGGUUGUAAAGCACUUUCAGCGGGGAGGAAGGCGUUAAGGUUAAUAACCUUGUCGAUUGACGUUACCCGCAGAAGAAGCACCGGCUAACUCCGUGCCAGCAGCCGCGGUAAUACGGAGGGUGCAAGCGUUAAUCGGAAUUACUGGGCGUAAAGCGCACGCAGGCGGUCUGUCAAGUCGGAUGUGAAAUCCCCGGGCUCAACCUGGGAACUGCAUUCGAAACUGGCAGGCAAGAGUCUUGUAGAGGGGGGUAGAAUUCCAGGUGUAGCGGUGAAAUGCGUAGAGAUCUGGAGGAAUACCGGUGGCGAAGGCGGCCCCCUGGACAAAGACUGACGCUCAGGUGCGUAAGCGUGGGGAGCAAACAGGAUUAGAUACCCGGGUAGUC
rnacentral:rRNA from 1 species